AUUGAACGCUGGCGGCAGGCCUAACACAUGCAAGUCGAACGGUAACAGGAAGAAGCUUGCUUCUUUGCUGACGAGUGGCGGACGGGUGAGUAAUGUCUGGGAAACUGCCUGAUGGAGGGGGAUAACUACUGGAAACGGUAGCUAAUACCGCAUAACGUCGCAAGACCAAAGAGGGGGACCUUCGGGCCUCUUGCCAUCGGAUGUGCCCAGAUGGGAUUAGCUAGUAGGUGGGGUAACGGCUCACCUAGGCGACGAUCCCUAGCUGGUCUGAGAGGAUGACCAGCCACACUGGAACUGAGACACGGUCCAGACUCCUACGGGAGGCAGCAGUGGGGAAUAUUGCACAAUGGGCGCAAGCCUGAUGCAGCCAUGCCGCGUGUAUGAAGAAGGCCUUCGGGUUGUAAGGUACUUUCAGCGGGGAGGAAGGGAGUAAAGUUAAUACCUUUGCUCAUUGACGUUACCCGCAGAAGAAGCACCGGCUAACUCCGU
rnacentral:rRNA from 1 species